GGGUUAGUAGAUUGGUCAUGCCAUCGGUAUGCACUGGUCUCACUGAUUCCUCCUUCCUGAUGAGCCGUAAUGCCAUUAAUUUGGUGUUGCGGGGAAUUUGGACUGUUACUUUGAAAAUUAGAGUGUUUAAAGCAAGCUAACGCUUGAAUACAUUAGCAUGGAAUAAUGAAAUAGGACGUUCGAUCCUAUUUUGUUGGUUUCUAGGAUUGACGUAAUGAUUAAUAG
rnacentral:rRNA from 1 species